rnacentral:rRNA from 1 species
GAUGAACGCUAGCGGCAGGCCUAAUACAUGCAAGUCGAGGGGCAGCACGAGAUUUCGGUCUUGGUGGCGACCGGCGCACGGGUGCGUAACGCGUAUGCAACCUACCCUUUACAGGGGGAUAGCCCGUGGAAACAUGGAUUAAUACCCCAUAGUAUUAUUUAGACACAUGUUUAGAUAAUUAAAGAUUUAUUGGUAGAGGAUGGGCAUGCGUUAGAUUAGCUAGUUGGUAAGGUAACGGCUUACCAAGGCGAUGAUCUAUAGGGGGUCUGAGAGGAUGAUCCCCCACACUGGUACUGAGAUACGGACCAG